GUUGUGAAGGGCACAUGUUUGAUGAAUGUGGGUGAUUUGUAUGAUGUCCUUGAUUAAAUGAUAAGCAUGAGUUUUCCACUUAGGUGAGUCAAUUAUUGAGGCUAGAAUGUUUUGGAGUGGAGCUCAUUAUCUAUCAACUGUGUAAAUAAUGUGCUUUACAUAGAAACUUGUAUUCCGUGUAGUCAUUGUAGUACUAGCUUGAGUGUCUUUGUUUUAGU
rnacentral:lncRNA from 1 species